rnacentral:rRNA from 1 species
UGGGGAAUAUUGCACAAUGGGGGGAACCCUGAUGCAGCCAUGCCGCGUGUGUGAAGAAGGCCUUCGGGUUGUAAAGCACUUUCAGUUGUGAGGAAAGGUUAGUAUUUAAUAAAUGCUAACUGUGACGUUAGCAACAGAAGAAGCACCGGCUAACUUCGUGCCAGCAGCCGCGGUAAUACGAGGGGUGCAAGCGUUAAUCGGAAUUACUGGGCGUAAAGCGUGCGUAGGCGGUUUGUUAAGCAAGAUGUGAAAGCCCAGGGCUCAACCUUGGAACUGCAUUUUGAACUGGCAGACUAGAGUACUGUAGAGGGUGGUGGAAUUUCCAGUGUAGCGGUGAAAUGCGUAGAGAUUGGAAGGAACAUCAGUGGCGAAGGCGGCCACCUGGACAGAUACUGACGCUGAGGCACGAAAGCGUGGGGAGCAAACAGG